rnacentral:rRNA from 1 species
GCCGUGGAGGGUGAUAGCCCCGUUCAUGUCUGAAAUGAAAAGUGUACGAUUGGCUUUCUAAGAGUCGAGUUGUUUGGGAUUGCAGCUCUAAGUGGGUGGUAAAUUCCAUCUAAAGCUAAAUAUUGGCGAGAGACCGAUAGCGAACAAGUACCGUGAGGGAAAGAUGAAAAGCACUUUGGAAAGAGAGUUAAAAGUACGUGAAAUUGUCGAAAGGGAAGCACUUGAA